UUUCAAUCUUCCGACUCUCCUCUUCCCCCAGUGGCGCUAUCCUAUCUCUUUCAAUCUCGCUACACUCCUCUUCUCUCUCAAUUUCGUGACUUUCCUCUCCCCCUCUCUGAGGUGCUAUUCCAUGGACAUGACAAAAGACUUUGUUCCAAUAUCCGUGCUUUCCGAGACAUCCCAAGUAAAAUCAAAGUGAGGUCUUCCAACACUAUCUCGCUCCAAUGCUCCUCCAAAUCUUGCUGCAAAAGUCUCCGAGCCUUCGGUCAUCAGGGUCUCCAAUGCUGGCCCUGCCGUUAGGGUUUUGGAUCCUCAACUUGAAUAUCACAAGCUCUUUGGAAUAAGCAGAUUGAUAUGUUUGGAAUCUGAUAAUGAGUCUGAAAGCAGUUCUAGAGGGGACAAUGAACAGGGGAAGGGAUUGAAGGAUUUCUGACAUUGAUGAGUCCAAGGAGUUAGAAUGGUGUUCUAGAUUUGUUGAUUAUGAAUCUCAUCUAGGCUUGUUGAUAUUGUAUCUCCAUCUAUAUUUUAUGUGAUUGUCUGAUUCCGAAAACCUUACUAUGAUUUUGAAAAUGCAAAAGGAAUUAUAUACAGCAGUUUGGAAUCUACUUUUAGGUUAAUGGAAGUUUCAGGAAGUUUGUUUUUCAGGGAGUCCUAAUCUAAUCCAAAUGUAGGAUGAAAGUUCUACUCAGCUAACUUACAGACAAGACGAUGUUGAUCCGCUACUUCCUCUUGAGGUAUGAUAAUAAAAUGGUGCAUUCUUCAGCUUCUAAAAUACUACAGGUUCCUUAAGUGCUUGGGUGAAAUAUUCGCCUCGCCCUGGUCUGUGUACAUCAUCUUUCGGCUUCAAGGGAGAAAGGCCUCUAGCGUCCAAUUUCGUCAAAGUGAAGAAAACAAAGGAUUAGGUAUCCAAAAAUCACAAAUUUUCUAUUAUGAUUCAAGCUGAACAAGCUCAAGCUUGGCUGCUGACUUGAGUUUUUUCUCGAGUCGAGUGAGCUUACGCUCGGUUUGAGUUUUACUUCAAGUUGAGUUUAAACUUGAA